CAAUUACGCCUCUCUGAGUCUCUGGAGCUGCCGCCAUAUGUACCGGGGGACUACGGUAGAUAUUCCAUGCGAGAAGGCAAAAGAAGGCCACUUUUUGCUACUAGUCAGCGUAAUAUGGAGAGCCGGGGAUAGAUAAAUUUCUGAAUUGAAAAAUCAUAAAAGUGGUGAGAUGGUUGGUCAGCCGGCUUCAUCUUCUCCAUAUUUUUCAUUUUCAUUGCUUUGAGCCAAUAGAAUCAAAAGUGGAGAUGAAGUAGGCAGAAUGGGAGGGAAUUGAGAGUUUUCAGCGUUCAGGAUUCAUAUUACAUACUCAACCUGGCCGCAAGGUGCUUAGCUUAGCGCGCAAUCAAAGU
ensembl:ncRNA F45B8.7 ncRNA